UUUAAGAAUGAGAUAUCUGCAAAAUCACACAUGAACCUACUAUUUCCACCGUAAGAAGAAAAUUCUUCUCAACAGAGCUUUCCACGGGACAACCAACACUGAACAAAAAAUGAUCCCAGAGACAACAGGUGAAGCGUGAGGGAUGGACAUUGGAAAAGUGUCACUUUCAUGCUUGACUUAAGCUUGCAUUCCUAUUUUGUCCCUAAUUGAGUUCUAGGUCCUCUAGGCCCUGCUCUUAUGUAACAUCUCUUUGAGUUGUUGCAGGGUAUGGAG
rnacentral:misc_RNA from 1 species